CCUACGGGUGGCAGCAGUGAGGAAUAUUGGUCAAUGGGCGCUAGCCUGAACCAGCCAAGUAGCGUGAAGGAUGACUGCUCUAUGGGUUGUAAACUUCUUUUAUAUGGGAAUAAAGUGCAGUAUGUAUAAUGCUGUGCAUGUACCUUAUGAAUAAGGAUCGGCUAACUCCGUGCCAGCAGCCGCGGUAAUACGGAGGAUCCUAGCGUUAUCCGGAUUUAAUGGGUUUAAAGGGAGCGUAGGAGGGUUGUUAAGUCAGUUGUUAAAGUUUGCGGCUCAAACGUCUAAUUGCAUUUGAUACUGGGUUCCUUGAGUGCAGGAGAGGUAGGCGGAAUUCGUGGUGUAGCGGUGAAAUGCUUAGAUAUCACGAAGAACUCCGAUUGCGAAGGCAGCCUGCUGGACUGUAACUGACGCUGAUGCUCGAAAGUGUGGGUAUCAAACAGGAUUAGAUACCCGGGUAGUC
rnacentral:rRNA from 1 species